UCUGGAGACCUGGAGAGCUGUGAGAACAUGGGAGGCAGGAGAAAGAGCCACAGAUGGAGUGAAGGCUGGGAGGCCCAGCUCCAGAAGAGUAGGUCAAGUAGGGAAUAGGAAGGUAAGGUCCCACAGAGGGAAGGGACUGUUCUGGAGUCACGGAAGAUAACUAAGAGCACAGAAGGGUGGGAAGAACUUUACCUCAUGCUGACAGCUGUUGGGAGAGAAGAAAUGUCAGUCUCCUGCUGGGGCCUUGGGCAGGUAGCACUGAAAAACGGGACAAGAGACCAAACAAGAGAGGAGUCUGGGAGAAAGGCAAGUCUGCUGUAGCUAAGAUAAGCAGUGAAGACAGUGAGCUGAUGACAUGUGUCUCUCCACAGGGCUCUGAACCUUAGGAAUCCUGCUUAAAACUGAUGCCCCAAGUCUCUGGGCAGACGGGGUCACUAUUCUUGGGGCCUCAAAUGCUUCUGGAAUACAUCUCAACCCCAGAGCCUGUCUUCAUGUCUAGUGGGAGAUCCUCAAAGCUAGACUAUGUGCUCUUGUCUGUGUGCCUGUUCGGAAGGGCAUUUGGCUGAAUUUUCAUAGCUGAUUUCUUUAAUU
rnacentral:lncRNA from 1 species